UGCCGCGUGCAGGAAGACUGCCCUAUGGGUUGUAAACUGCUUUUAUACAGGAAGAACUAUUGGUACGAGUACCAAUUUGACGGUACUGUAAGAAUAAGGAUCGGCUAACUCCGUGCCAGCAGCCGCGGUAAUACGGAGGAUCCAAGCGUUAUCCGGAAUCAUUGGGUUUAAAGGGUCCGUAGGUGGUUUAAUAAGUCAGAGGUGAAAUCCUGCAGCUCAACUGUAGAAUUGCCUUUGAUACUGUUAAACUUGAGUCAUUGUGAAGUAGUUAGAAUGUGUAGUGUAGCGGUGAAAUGCAUAGAUAUUACACAGAAUACCGAUUGCGAAGGCAGACUACUAACAAUGUACUGACACUGAUGGACGAAAGCGUGGGUAGCGAACAGGAUUAGAUACCCUGGUAGUCCACGCCGUAAACGAUGGUCACUAGCUGUUUGAUGCACAUUGGUGUGUUGAGUGGCUAAGCGAAAGUGAUAAGUGACCCACCUGGGGAGUACGCUCGCAAGAGUGAAACUCAAAGGAAUUGACGGGGGCCCGCACAAGCGGUGGAGCAUGUGGUUUAAUUCGAUGAUACGCGAGGAACCUUACCAGGGCUUAAAUGUACGUUGCAUAGAUCUGAGAUGGUCUUUUCUUCGGACUACGUACAAGGUGCUGCAUGGUUGUCGUCAGCUCGCGCCGUGAGGUGUCAGGUUAAGUCCUAUAACGAGCGCAACCCCUGUCGUUAGUUGCCAUCAAGUAAUGUUGGGUACUCUAGCGAGACUGCCGGUGCAAACCGCGAGGAAGGUGGGGAUGACGUCAAAUCAUCACGGCCCUUACGUCCUGGGCCACACACGUGCUACAAUGGCCGGUACAGAGAGCAGCCACUGGGUGACCAGGAGCGAAUCUAUAAAACCGGUCUCAGUUCGGAUCGCAGUCUGCAACUCGACUGCGUGAAGCUGGAAUCGCUAGUAAUCGGAUAUCAGCCAUGAUCCGGUGAAUACGUUCCCGGGCCUUGUACACACCGCCCGUCAAGCCAUGGAAGCUGGGAGUACCUGAAGUCGGUGACCGCAAGGAGCUGCCUAGGGUAAAACUAGUAACUGGGGCUAAGUCGUAACAAGGUAGCCGUACCGGAAGGUGCGGCUGGAACACCUCCUUUCU
rnacentral:rRNA from 1 species